GUGCCUACUGAGCUGAUAUCAGUUCUGAUUUUACAUACUGGCUCAGUUCAGCAGGAACAG
rnacentral:pre_miRNA from 4 species